rnacentral:tRNA from 1 species
GAUUUUGUAGCUCAACUGGAUUGAGCAUUCGUCUACGAAGCGAAAAGUUUAGGUUCGAAUCCUAACAAAAUCA